rnacentral:tRNA from 1 species
GCCCCUUAGCUCAGGGGAUAGAGCAGCGGUCUUCUAAACCGCUGGCCGUAGGUUCGAAUCCUACAGGGGGCG